GGUCAAGUGACAAAGCGUGCACGGUGGAUGCCUUGGCAGUCAGAGGCGAUGAAGGACGUGGUAACCUGCGAAAAGCGUUGGGAAGGUGGUAAACAACCUGUGAUCCAACGAUGUCCGAAUGGGGAAACCCACCCAACUUGUUGGGUAUCUCAUACUGAAUACAUAGGUAUGUAGAGGCGAACGAGGGGAACUGAAACAUCUAAGUACCCUUAGGAAAAGAAAUCAACCGAGAUUCCCUUAGUAGCGGCGAGCGAACGGGGACCAGCCCUUAAGUUGGUAAGUGGUUAACAGAACGCUCUGGAAAGUGCGGCCAUAGUGGGUGAAAGCCCCGUAUGUGACAACCUAUUACCAAUGAAAU
rnacentral:rRNA from 1 species